CCCGGAAGUUGGCGAGGGACCUCGGGGCGGGGAGGGGGGAGGGGCACCUCAUGACUCAGAAGAGUGGGAUUCUGAGGUCAUGAGAGGGGCCUCAACAGGCUUUCCAGCAGCAGGAAGACAGCCUCCCUGGGGAAGGAGCCGCUCCUCACACGCUUUGUUGAUAAUAAAGAAAAUGAGAGAGCAGUGGGGGAGGUGUGAUGGCCCCAACUUUGCCAGGUCUCCUCCGAGGUGCUGGUGAGGGUUUGGGGAGCGGGGGACCCAUGAUUUGGUGCUUUCGGAUGCCUGGGGCAGGGAGGCACGGGGUGUUAGAGGUUCCCUCCCUCUCUGCCUCAGCGCCAAUCUCAGGAGCACUCCGACACUCUUUAAUGUGGAGGGACCAACGUUCAGGUCCUGAGAACCCGAACUGGGCACCUCCCUGUCUCACCUGCACAUCAGAACUGCUGGGGCAGUGGUCCAGGCUGGCCACCCACUGGACAGGGACGCCACCUGCAGGUAACAGGCAUUCACACUGUGUCCUUGUAGCCCAUGGCUCCUGGGGGGUGCUGUGUGCCGGGUUCCUGCAGCGGGUGCCAGGCCUGCUGGUGGCCACAGGCUGGCCCAGGAACUGCCUUCCUGGACGACAUCAGCAAGGCCUCAGAUGGGAACCGAGAGAGUGUGGCCAGUCUGGGGCUCUGUUGGCAGCUCUACGAGGGUUUCCCCUCUUUCAGUCGCUGCAGGCCCCCUUUGUCUGAACAGUUCGUUAUGAGAAAAAGCUGAGCCUGUCCGCCGGUGUCAGGAUACAGGACACAAACCAAAGACCCAGAGGGUAGGUAAGCAACAGACCUUACGGAGUCCCGUGUGCCCGCCACUCAGGUUCCCACAGCAGUAGCAUCUUCCUCAACACCUGCGGCACAUCACUGUUGAGGCUCCGCCCCCGCGCCCCGGCCCUGGAGUGUGGUUUCCACUCGCCUUCCCCGCUCCCAGAGGCGGUUCCAGGACACGGCUUAGAGAUGGCGAGGCGUUGACAGCACCCCGGGGUAGGCGUGACGGAGCCCAGUUAAGGCCUCUGCAUGAACUUUGAAGAUCUGGUGCACUGGUGUGGGGUCCGUUCAUCUCCUGUGUAAGUUCCCUUGUUUAUGAAAUCUGCCCGCCGCCAGCCUGGAGCGUCCUGCCUCUUUCUUCUGUCUUCCCUGCCCUCCGCGUUUGGGAUGGCUUCGGGUUUCAGCAGGGAGGCUUCUGAGCAGCUGGUGCGCCAACCGUCACCACGGGGGGUGACACUGGCGCUCGGUGUGUUCGUUCUGUCAUUUUAUCCCGCGUGUGGUUCCUGUGACCACCCUGCAGUCAAGAUGCGGGCUGUUCCGCCCCUCAGAGACCCGUCUCGCUGCCCCUCUUCGGCACCCCCACCGUCCCUAACCCCUGUCAACCACUCUUGUCAGUUCUCCACCUCCAUAACGCUGUCAUUUCAAGAAUAUUAGGUAAGUGGGACCACAGCAUAUUGGGCUGGAUUUUUGAGAUUGGAUUUUCUUCACCCAGCAAAUGACCACGCGAUCCAUCCAAGUUGCAUCCAACUUAUACACAGGUGAUUCCAAAGCGUCUCUUAGCUUUUCCAACAUGGUACAUAAGUUCAGUUGGGUUUCACCUUGUAACACCAAGUCUAAGAAGUUUCCUCUUGUGAACAAUGGUUCCACGGCAAAGCUGACCCUCUCAUUGGAUGAGUUCUCUUCUGCAUUACAAACGUAGGAUGUAUCCUGAUUCCAUCUCAAUGCCACAAACAUUCUUGCACGGCUUGUUGACUCUUCCAACCUUCCCCAUACUGAAUUUGAAAUCUCUGCAGGGUAGAAAGGAGUCCAUGCAGGGACAGAGCCAGCCCAUCAGGCCAAGGCGGUGCCCCUGACCCCGAGAUUUCUGCGGGAUGCUGGCGGGAUCCUCUCCCUGACCAUGGUGGGUUUCUAGGUACCUCCAUGUCCCACAUUGUGUUGGUCCCUACGGCCUGCAGAGAGUGACCCCACAUGACUGCUGAAUGGGAUUUUGUAUUUUUGUGGCCCUUAAAGAUAGUCAAGUAAAUGUAUUUUUUGUUUUAGUCUAGAGAAUUUUAACUUGAUGGGCUCCUUAAGAGAUGUCCUUAUAUACUUAACCUAAUAAAAUCUUGCAUUCUUUC
ensembl:lncRNA